AAUACGUUCCCGGGCCUUGUACGCACCGCCCGUCACACCAUGGGAGUUGGUUUUACCCGAAGCUGGUGCGCUAACCGCAAGGAGGCAGCCAACCACGGUAAGGUCAGCGACUGGGGUGAAGUCGUAACAAGGUAGCCCUAGGGGAACCUGGGGCUGGAUCACCUCCUUAAGCUUGGAUCCCGGG
rnacentral:rRNA from 1 species